UCAGCAUUUGUUCGUCCAAAUAGAAUUCCAGGUGCAUAACCACCUACAAGCACAGGUACUUUGAAGAUGUUUCCACUUCCCUUCAAAGAUGUUCAAUGUCCCUGCACAGAAUGAGAGAUGCCACCUUCUCCAGCAUGAGACACAUCCCCACGUGAUCCCUUACCACCCAGACUCCUGGGCGAGUUGGGAAGAAAGAACAGAAGUCAACGCAUCCCAUUUAUUUUCAAGGCACACCCAAAACGCCCUUGUUGAAUUAGAACACUGCUGCUAAAAUCGAAAGCAUGAUUUUUAAAGCAAAGCAGAAGAACAGAAAAUGGCUGUCAUGGAGAAGAAAAAUAAGAGAGAAGUUCAAAAUAAAGUGAUGGGGAAAGGGUCAACUUCUGCAGCACAAUGGC
rnacentral:lncRNA from 1 species